GCCAUGUGUCCUAAUGGUAAGGAGUUUGACUUGACAUCAAAAGACUGCAGGUUCAAUUCUGGGUCCUGGCA
rnacentral:tRNA from 1 species